CCUACGGGAGGCAGCAGUGGGGAAUAUUGGACAAUGGGCGAAAGCCUGAUCCAGCCAUGCCGCGUGUGUGAAGAAGGCCUUCGGGUUGUAAAGCACUUUCAGUGGGGAAGAAAGCCUUGGGGCUAAUACCCUCGAGGAAGGACAUCACCCACAGAAGAAGCACCGGCUAACUCCGUGCCAGCAGCCGCGGUAAUACGGAGGGUGCGAGCGUUAAUCGGAAUUACUGGGCGUAAAGCGCGCGUAGGCGGUCUGAUAAGCCGGUUGUGAAAGCCCCGGGCUCAACCUGGGAACGGCAUCCGGAACUGUCAGGCUAGAGUGCAGGAGAGGAAGGUAGAAUUCCCGGUGUAGCGGUGAAAUGCGUAGAGAUCGGGAGGAAUACCGGUGGCGAAGGCGGCCUUCUGGACUGACACUGACGCUGAGGUACGAAAGCGUGGGUAGCAAACAGGAUUAGAUACCCCAGUAGUC
rnacentral:rRNA from 1 species